rnacentral:rRNA from 1 species
GACGAACGCUGGCGGCGUGCUUAACACAUGCAAGUCGAACGGAAAGGCCCCUUUGGGGGUACUCGAGUGGCGAACGGGUGAGUAACACGUGAGUAACCUGCCCUUGACUUCGGGAUAACUUCAGGAAACUGGGGCUAAUACCGGAUAGGAAUCCUUGCUGCAUGGUGGGGGUUGGAAAGCUUCGGCGGUUUUGGAUGGACUCGCGGCUUAUCAGCUUGUUGGUGGGAUAGUGGCUUACCAAGGCUUUGACGGGUAGCCGGCCUGAGAGGGCGACCGGCCACAUUGGGACUGAGAUACGGCCCAGACUCCUACGGGAGGCAGCAGGGGGGAAUAUUGCACAAUGGGCGGAAGCCUGAUGCAGCAACGCCGCGUGCGGGAUGACGGCCUUCGGGUUGUAAACCGCUUUCAGCAGGGGCGAAGCUUGUGGUGACGGUACCUGCAGAAGAAGCACCGGCUAACUACGUG